UCCCCUCGUCAGUCAAAGGGACGCGUGCCGUCUUUUUUAUUUGAGCGCAUUUUGCGGAACAGUUGCUAUCUGUGGACUCUGGAAAAAAAAAAAAAAAGAAAGGAAUCGGUUAUGAUAUCUUCUAUGCUCGAAAGCGGAUAUAACACCACUUAUAUCAGUGCAACCGCGUAUUCUGUCACUCACGGUGUAUUAGGCGGUGAGUAGAGGAAGGAAGGUGAAGGAGGGUGAGGUCGAAGGGGAAAACGAAGAAGGGGCAGAUGGUAGCGUCUUCUUCGCAGCCAAGUGGCAGCGGGCACGCGCCAAUCGAGUCCGAAAGAACAUCUGCCGCUACGUUCCCAGGAGUACAAGAGAACCACCGACUCGCAGGCAACAGGCCAUCUUCUAACAACCAACCAGUCAGUCAGUUUCUUCUUUCCUAUGCCUUUUUCACCUACCACCUACUUCACCACGCGCCCGACUUCCCCCUCCACCGGCUUUUCCUUUCUCCUUCUCGUGAGCUUAAUUCUCAGGCAGUGCUCCUUCUUCCAGGCCUUCCCUCCUCUUUCCUUUCAGUUUUCACAGAUGCUGCAUGGAUCUUCUAGAUAUAGGGAAAAGAGGAGGAAACAGUCGGUGGAACAGUUGCCACGUUGAUUCUUCACUUGGAAAAGGUGGUUGUUGGCGGACGGUGGGGGAAAGGUGGUCUCUAGGAGGUUUGGCCUGAUCAAUUUUCUUAACGAUGGCACGUGGUACCGUGCCACCACCAGUUUCUUUAGCGGGAUUCUGCAGAUGAACUUUUAAUGGAGUGUUAAAUCCCAAUAAUACCAAAAGAGGAUUGGAACAAGUCUACUCUCGCUUUAAUCCCAUUAAUGGCAGAUGCAAGUACUUCAAACAUAAGGAACAUUCAAUGGCGAAUAUCCUUUAUAGAGCGAUUCUUCUUUAAGGUUGACAUCGGUUUUCCUUCCACCGAUUCUUCUUUUCUUCUCAUUUUCCUCCUUCCAAUGCAGAUGCAGUUUUUCCAUUAUGCCUCCAGUCUCCUCGUGCCACCAGUCUCCCCAUCCCAUCCCCCACGGCGACUUUCGAUUCUCGAUCUUUAGAGAUCGCGCACGUGCUCGAUACCACCUCCCAGGUUUUCUCUUCCUCCUCGAUGAUCCUUUGUAUCUUGCGAGGAGGAAAUCCGUCGCGAUCUUAAGCUCGUCAUGCACGACGUGGUUCCAUUGUGAGGCGGUACAAUGAUCUGGGGGAGGGGGACCGUAGCCCAUCUCGGAUUCGAAAGUCUCGAGUGGGAGUUGGAGCGUA